GCCAUCUGCAACCUCCAUACUUUAUAUGUUGAAACCUGAGCAAUGUUCAUAAUUCGUGCAUCAUCUUCAAUCCAAGCCUAACGUUGCAGCUAAUUUUUUUUUGGUAAGCCUACCUCAUCCUUAGAUUGGAUUCUUGAUUUAGGAGCAUCAGAACACAUGAUCUCAGACAAUACUAAGUUAGAUAAUUUUCAGCAGCAAACCACACCUUUUCUAGUACAACUACCUGAUGGUUCUCAAUUUUCUGUAUUGCAAAGAGGACAAAACACCCUCCCAUCCAAUAAUCAUCUUUCAAAUGUGUUAUAUGUUCUUUCUUUCUGUAGCAACCAGAUUUCAAUUGGUAAAUUAACACGCAACUGCAUUUUGCAUCCAUUUUCUUACCAACCUUUUGUGUUUUGCAGAAGCUUAUUACAAGAACAGUGAUUGACCUGGUGAGCAACAUGAUCAUAUUUACUAGUUCAAAAGUCUAGAAAUUCCUGUUACUCUUUCUAGUGUGAAGUCAAGUGACCCUAUUCUCUGACACCAAAAGCUAAGACAUGUUUCACUUGAUCAUUUUUCUCAUGUUCAAACUUACCCAAAAAAUUUUUCAGCCAAGUUUGUGAUGAUUGUCAUAAAACAAAACAAACUGGACUUCCUUUUCCAAUCAGUAAUCAUCGAACAAAGGUUCCUUUCCAUUUAAUUUCAUUGUGACAUUUACAGAAGUCCACAUUACUCAAAUUUUGUGAAUUUCGAUGGCUGUUCAAAUUGCCUAAAAUAAUGUUCAGAUUUUCUUUGGCGAAAUUUUGAUUGUGGUUCAACUUCUUAGGGUAUAUUUUCCUUCGGCAUGUUUCAUCUUUACCGAAAAAUUAUGUUUUCUUUUUAAAUAAUAUUUUAUUUUUUUCGUGGGUCCCACAUAAUUUAG
rnacentral:misc_RNA from 1 species